GAGCGAGCACAGGCAGACAGAGUGGAAGGCAGAGUCAGAGGGAGAAGCAGGCUCCCUGCGGAGCAAGUAGCCCGAUGUGGGACUCGAUCCCAGGACGCUGGGAUCAUGACCUGAGCCGAAGGCAGCUGCUUAACCAAUUGAGCCACCCAGGCUAACAUAAAAUGAAAAUUUUUAAAUGAUAUUUUGUCAGACUCCAAUAAUAGACCAGUUGAUUUUAUAUGGAUGGAGGGGUUUCUUCUCAUCUCAUGACUUUUAAGAGUGUAUGUUUCCAUUAUCUUUAUAUAUGUAUAAAGGUUUGUGCAUGUCCCAUUAGACCUACUGACCUUGAUAGCUAAAACUAGUUAGAAGCAGCCACAAUGUUUAUAGUGCAUACAGUAAAUUCUCUUAAAACUCUAACCACAGCAUGAUCAUUUGAGAAUGGAUUUAGCAGAGCAGAGAAGCGGGAGAAAUGAGGCUUUUUCCCCUGGUGGAUAUAGAAGAAAAAUAAAAGUUAAACUUAAUUGAUGAAUUACUUUCUAGGCAAGAGCUGAACUAGAGAUACCUAUAGCUAGCAGCAGCAGUUAUACACAAAGCAAAUAGGUUUCUCUAUGGAUGCUUUUUAGCCAACUCUUAAAAAUAUUUAAAACAUUUGUUAGACUUCUCAUUUUAUAGAAAAUAUCCCUUUAAAUGAGUAGGAGAGUGUUAAAUACUUCGUGCUAGACAGACUUAAAAAUCAAGAACAUCCUUUGCUGUAUUGACUUUGUGUAGUUCAUACAUUCUUUUUUUUUUUAAAGAUUUUAUUUAUUUAUUUUACAGAGAGAAAUCACAAGUAGAUGGAGAGGCAGGCAGAGAGGGAGAGAGAGAGGGAAGCAGGCUCCCUGCUGAGCAGAGAGCCCGAUGCGGGGCUCGAUCCCAGGACCCUGAGAUCAUGACCUGAGCCGAAGGCAGCGGCUUAACCCACUGAGCCACCCAGGCGCCCCUCAUACAUUCUUUUUUAAAGAUUUUAUUUACUUAUUUGACAGAGAGAGACCGCAAGUAGGCAGAGAGGCAGGCAGAGAGAGAGGGGGAAGCAGGCUCCCCACUGACCGAGAGCCCAAUGCGGGGCUCAAUUCCAGGACCCUGAGACCAUGACCUGACCCGAAGGCAGAGGCUUAACCCACUGAGCCACCAGGCGCCCCCAUACAUUCUUAAAUAUCCAUGAACAUGUGUCCAUACUCAUUGCCUGAGGAACUAGGGAAGAAUAAAGAUUACUGGCUGCAUACAAUUCUGCCUGUGGUAGCCUUUUCCAGAUUGCUCACCAGCAAGAAAACUUGCUUAAUUACUUCUCUCUGAUUUUAUGGAGAAUAAGAAAUAAAUCAUUGAAAGAUUACUUUAAAGUGAGAGGCAUCUCUGUCCAAGAACUAGGAAAUACAAACUGAGCAAAGGGAGGGGAAUAAGAACAUGAACACUUCAGCAGUGUUGUAAAGCUAGGAAUCCAAGACCAUAUCCAAGGUCAAUGGGGAGAGUGGGCAGAAUUCUCAAGGUGGCCUCAAGAUUUCCACCCUUGGUAUACAUGCUCUGUAUAAUUCCCUAUUCCCUCCUGUUGGUGUGGGCAAGCCUUGUGAAUAUGAGGGGAUUCUGUUCGUUCAUUUAAGUUAUAACCUUUUAAUUUUGAGUUAAUAAAAAUGGAGAUUAUCCUGGGUGAGUUUGGCCUAAUCAGGUGAAUCCCUAAGUGGGAAAAGCAGCAGCAGAUGUUCACCUGUUGGCCUUAAAAAAGCAAAAAGCUGUGUUACUCAAGGGGGCCAUUUGGCAAGGACCUCAGGGUAGCCGCUGAGAGCUGAGAAUGCUCCCAGGCUGAGAGCCAGCAAAAAAUGGGGAUUUCACUCUAGUUGGAAGGAACUAAAUUCUACCAAUAACCAGCAAGUUUGGAAGAGGACUUAAAGUCUUAGAUGAGCUUCAGGCCUGGCUGAUACCAUGAUUUUGGUCCUUUGAGACCCCGAGCAGAGGACCAAGUUAAGCUAUAUCUGGACUCUUGACCCAUAGGACUCUGAGAUGGUAAUGGGUAUUGUGUUAAGCUACUAAUUACAUGGUAAUUUGUUACAGAGCAGUAGAAAAUGGCUACAGACUCUGGUACUGGAAGUGGAGUGCUGCUGUAUCAAGUACCUAAAAUGUGGGAGUGGUUUUAGAAUCAGGCGGUAGGUGAAGACUAGAAGAAUUUUGAGGACCAUGAUAGGGAAAGCAUAAAUUGCCUUAAACAGGCUGUCAGUAGUAAUAUGGACUUUAAGGAUGCUGUAGGCGAAGGCUCAAAAGUAAGGAACGUGCUGUUGGAAACUAGAAGAAAGGGAAUCCUCUUAGUAGGUGGUAGCAUUAUGGUUAGAGGCCCGGAAGUUUGGGAUUUGAGUCUUUGCUCUAAAUUAUUUGGGAGAUGUUAUCAAGCCAGGCUUGACAUAGUAUGUAACAUCUGUGAUUUAUUCAGAAUGUGGUACCAUUAUUUAUCUCCAUGACAUCUUUUGGAGGCAGGGAAAGGGCACAGACUAAUUUUGGCAUUUACAGAAGGGAAAAUUGCAGUCAUUUUGAAGUUUUAGGCCACUGAAUUUGUGGUAAUUUGUUACAACAACAAUAGGAAACCAAUAAAGAAGGCAUACUGAGCCCUGUUUAAAGGUAGAGACAUUUACUACACUGUCAUUAUUUACUUUGAAACUAUAGUUUAAACAAAGAUCUUGUGCCAGAUAAUUGAGACAUGAACUGUACCCAAAGCAAGCUUCAAUGAUUCUAAACCAUUUUGAACUUAUUCUAAGGAAUUCCUGUAGCUGAAUCUGUGUGUUAGGUGCCAUUAAUAUAAUUGGGAAUUCUCUGAGUUUACUUAAAGGUUAACAGUACAGGGCUUAGUAAUGAGUAUGUGCUCAUGUGAAGCUUACAGUAGUAUUAAUAAAACUCGACAGUAACUUCAUCAAUUAUUUGGACUUUAGACAAAAUAUUUUUCUGGACAGGUGUAUUUUAUCAUUGAUGUUGUUUAAAAUUGUCAGAGCAUGGUGAUAAUUCAAAUAGGCCAGAUUUUUGUUGGUUUUAUCACUGUUUUUAAAUUUUCUACAGAUUAUACAGUUCUUUUUUUUAAAUUUAAUUUUAUAUUUUCAGUGCUAAGAUUCAUUGUUAAUGUACCACACCCAGUGCUCCAUGUAAUACAGUUCUUUUUGCUUGCACACAAUGUGGAUGAUUCUCACUAUCCCACAUUGGUACACAAUUGCUUUCAUACAUAUUCUUACUCAGAUACAUAGUCAAUAUCUUGGGGCACCUGGGUGGCUCAAUUGAUUAAGCGUCUGCCUUCAGCUUGGGUCAUGAUCCCAGGGUCCUGGUACUGAGUCCAGUCUCAGGCUCCCUGCUCAGCGGAGAGUCUGCUUCUCCCCCUCCUUUCCGCUUGUGCUCUCUCAUGCCAUCUCCAUCUCUCUCAAAUGAAAUAUUUUAAAAAUUGUCAAUAUCUUAAUUGAUGAUUCACAAUUAAGGCAUGCACGUAUGUUAUGUGAAUGGCCAUUUCCCCAUGCCUACAUGUUUUUAAUCUAGAAUUAUAGAAGCUUUACAGAUGGAUAUCAACAUGAUGGUGGUCUCUCAAAUUGUACUACUUUCACAUGAUGACCAUUUAUAUGACUGGCUAGCUUUAAAUUUUCCCUACUCAGGAUUUCUCUGAUAUCCGCAAUAUAAACUGCAUUUUUGGGGCACCUGGUUGGCUCAGUUGAUUAAGUGGCUAACUUGAUUUCCAUCAGGUCAUGAUCUCAGGGUCCUGGGAUUGAGCCCCAAGUCAGGAUCUGCAUUCAGUGGGGAGUCUGGGGAUUCUCUCUUUCUCUCUACCCUACCCCCACUUAUACUCUCUCUAAAAUAAAUAAAUAUAUCUUUAAAAAAAUAUAUAUAUUUAUUGCAUUUUCUUUAAGUCAGUAUGUUUUCAUUUUAUAAAAAUUGAGAUUGAAUUGGGAUGCCUAGCUGACUCAGUGAAGCAUGCAACUCUUUUUUUAAAAAGAUUUUAUUUAUUUGACAGAGAUCAUAAGUAGGCAGAGAGGCAGGCAGAGAGAGGGGGUGAAGCAGACUCCCCACUGAUCAGGGAGCCCGAUGUGGGGUUUGAUCCAGGUACCCUGAGAUCAUGACCUGAGCCGAAGGCAGAGGCUUUAACCCCCUGAGCCACCCAGGUGCCCUAAGCAUGCAACUCUUGACCUUACAGAUUUGAGUUCAAGUCCCACAUUUCUCAUUGUGGUGGCCUCAGGCCCAGAGUAGUGUAGGUGUAAUUUGGAAGCCGGAUGAAUGAGAAGGAAGUGAAAGGUGAAAGAAGAAGAAUCAGUGAGAGACAUUACCAAAAUUUUUAAUGAGAAUGAUAGAGAAAAAAUGGUUAUGACCUAUAUAUAUAUAGAUCUAUAUAUACGCAUAUAUAUGUGUGUGUAUAUAUAUAUAUCUAUACACACACAUAGAUCUAUAUAUACACAUAUGUAUAUAGAUUUAUAUAUACACAUACAUAUGUGUAUAUAUCUAUAUCUACAUAUACAUAUGUAUAUGUAUAACAUACAUAUGUACACAUACAUAUAUACACAUACAUAUGUGUAUAUAUAGAUCUAUAUACAUAUGUGUAUAUAUAGAUAUCUAUAUGUGUAUAUGUGUGUAUAUAUAGAUCUAUAUAUAUCUAUGUGCAUAUCUAUAUAUGUGUGUGUAUAUAUAUAGAUAUAUCUCUAUAUAUAUACCCACAUUGGGUAUAAAGCUUACUUUAAAAAAAUUGAUAUUGAAUCAUAAAGUAAUUUGCCCUCCAUCACAUAAGUGUGGUAUUAGGAUUCAGAUCCAUAUCUUUUGGUUAUGAAUCUUAUGGUUUUUCCAGAAUCCCCCUCUAGAUUCAGCUUCUUGCCAGAAUAAGACAAGUAAUUUGAGUAAGGAAUCAAACCAUUUAAUAAUCAUAGGCAAGAGCAUUCUAGUGUGGAGUGAUGUACUGAGGUAGUUUAAGCUCCUCAAAUAUUUGUAAUUUCUCUUUGUCUUUUUCCUUCUUAUCUCUGCAAAAGAUUCCUUCUUGCAUAUGCAACUCAGACUUGUUUAAAAAACAUUACAGUGUAAACAUUAUAGUGUAUCACUGAAUGUUCAGUUUCAAAAUUAUAUUUAAAUUUAAAUUAAAUUUCAUUUAAUUUCUUCACCUUUCUUAUGAACUGAGAUUUGGCUGAUACAUUCCUGCAAGUGUUUUUUUUUUUUUUUAAGAUUUUAUUUAUUUAUUUGCUAGAGAGAGAAAGAGCGCACAAGAGGGGGAGCGGCAGGCAGAGGGAGAAGCAGGCUCCCUGUCAAGCAAGGCACCUGAUAUAGGACUUGAUCCUGAAAGGGUCCGUAGAUAAAAGGAUGAGACCGAUACAAAGCGAAGGUCAAGCAAAGCUUUAUUUCGUGCCAAGCAUCGAGAAUCAAACUGACCAGCCAGGGCCGUAUCUUGCACAGAGGAGACCUCUCCCAGUCUCACAGACUAUCUUGUAAAGGCCAUGUGGUUGAGCCUGGCCACACACAGGUGGCCAAUGGAAUUACAUUCUACCCCAUGAUAGUCAUCUAAUUCAGCCUAUGACCUUGGCUAGAAUUUGUCUGGAGCCCAAAAGGCGGGGCUCACACUCCUUGGCGGGUAAUACAUGCGCUUUCCCUUGAUUGGAUGUUUCCACCUGGCCUGGCUCAUCCUUGGCGGGUAGGGAGGUAAUACGUGCCCUUUCACUGAUUGGACGUUUCCACCUGGCCGGACACGUCCUUGUAUGUGGGCUCCGUUAUCAGGGGCUGGUCAGUCAUAUUUCACCAGUUCUGUUUCUAAGCGCUUUUCUCUUGGGGGCAAGGGGCAGGUUCAAUCUAACUUUACUGCAUAAACAACAAAAUGGCUCGCUCUGGCUAAGUAGGCCCUUACAUUCCCCCCUUUUCUUUGGAGAUUAGUCAAAUCUUUGACGAUUCUAUGCCCCCCUGUUGUAAGGGGUUAUAUUGAGUUUGUAAGAUUAUCAUCUUUAUUGCCCCAAUUUUUUUAUAUAAAUGACAUCAGGGCGUUUAUAGCGCAGGCGCCAAAGAGUAACAUUAAUAAUAGUAAGAAUAAGGGGCCUGCAAUUGCUGUUAUUAGGGAAGUCAUCCAUGGAGAACAGUUGAAUAAACUUUCAUACCAUCCCUGGGAGUCCCUGCACUGUUGUUCACGCUCAUCUAGUCUUAUUUUGACAGCUGUCAAGCUGUCUUUAAUGACCCCAGUGUGAUUUACCCAAAAGUAGUAUUCUUCCCCCAAGGCUACACAAAGUCCCCCUUUUUCCAAGAAUAGUAUGUUAAGCCCCCUUCAAUUUUGCAGUACCAUUUCAGCUAGAGAGCUCAGGGAAUCAGUCAGCUUACCUAUAUUUUCAUGCAUGUGAUGUAAAUCAGCAUCUACUUGGGAUCCCAGAGCUUCAAAAUCUACUUUUUCUUUUAUUAAGGCUGUGGUUCCUAUUGCUGUCGACCCCGCUAUUCCUGCAGCCACUAAUGCUGGAAUUAGGAUGGGGACCUCACGUUUUGUUCACCCUGUCCCUGCAGUAAGAUGCUGGAAUCCUUCGACCCCCUUAUAAUAACCUACUUGGGGAAGGAUGUGAGUGUUAUACAGAGCUCAUUCCAUGAAGAGUUUUGGAAUAAAGCAAGAUUAAGGCAUGGUGUGAGCCCUGAAUUACAAGCAAACCAGGCCCUGACAGGGGCCUUAAGGAAAUUAGUGAAGACGGUAGGGACCAUUAUAACCUCACAUAAGUUUUUGUAUUGGGAAGAUUGUUUCCCUUUCUGUGUCGCAAAGCAGAGUCCCGUACCUCUUAUAUCUCCCACAGUUAGUCUAGGUAUUUUUUCCCAUUCACAGGUGUCAUGAGAGCUUUCAUUUUUAAUUUGGCCCUUUUGGGUCCCUAUAGUAAGAUUGGCCCCCAUGCCAAUAUAGUAUGGGAGCCGAGGAGCCAGCAGUCGCGGGUGACAUUAGGACCUAAAGCAUUAAAAAAAUUAAACAUUGUAUCUACCAGUGGGAGUAAAACUUUUAUAGCAUUAUUGCCAUUGUCAACCUUUUCUCUUUUACCUUUUAUGAUAGUUUCCCUCGGGGUAGAAGUGGCGGGUAACUUGGUUGGUUUUAAUGGCUUGGGAGGAUUUAAAACUAGGUUCAGCCCUAUAGGCCGAAGCGGUUCUCGAAUUCUUAUCUUCUGGAUGGUGAAUUGCCCUCCUCUAUCUGCACCAGGUUCCCAAUAGCUAACGCCCCAAGAUCGGCUAUAUUCCUAGAGAUGAUCUUUGGGGUUGAUGAUUGUAAUAGAUAUAUUUGUACAAUAUUUUCCAAAUCGGUGGGAUGCAAUUGAAGGGAAGAUCCCUGUGGCUAAAUUUUUAACAAAUUCCUUUUGUUACACAGCUAUCUGUUCUGAUGGGUACUACUGUUAUAUGGGUGUCACGGUUUAUUCCCCAAUCAGAGGCUAUUGUCUCACAUCCCCAUCAUGCACAGUAAUAGUCUGAAGCUCUUCCACAUCCUGUAUGAGUCCCUGUGUAAGGACACAUGUAGUAAGAGGCAUGCGUGACACAAGGAGUUACAGGGGCCAACUGACAUAUGGUUACAUUAAAUUGCAUCAUUAGCUGAUGGGUCAGCCAUUCAUCGCUUUGUAUAACCUUUUCAAUUUUUGUUAAUCCCACUUGUCUAAUUUCACAUCUACACUUUUUUGUCUGAUGGGGUGACUCAGAAGUUUUUACAUAGACCAGUAACAAUAAACUUAAUGAACUCA